CAGUAGCCGCGGGAAUACGGAGGGAGCUAGCGUUGUUCGGAAUUACUGGGCGUAAAGCGCACGUAGGCGGCUUUGUAAGUCAGAGGUGAAAGCCUGGAGCUCAACUCCAGAACUGCCUUUGAGACUGCAUCGCUUGAAUCCAGGAGAGGUGAGUGGAAUUCCGAGUGUAGAGGUGAAAUUCGUAGAUAUUCGGAAGAACACCAGUGGCGAAGGCGGCUCACUGGACUGGUAUUGACGCUGAGGUGCGAAAGCGGGGGGAGCAAACAGGAUUAGAUACCCCCGUAGUCCCUGUCUCUUAUAC
rnacentral:rRNA from 1 species